UCCCUGGUGAUCCAGUGGUCAGGAAUCUGCCCUGCAAUGCAGGAGACUCGGGUUUGAUCCCUGGUCAGGGAA
rnacentral:tRNA from 1 species